rnacentral:rRNA from 1 species
AACGCUAGCUACAGGCUUAACACAUGCAAGUCGAGGGGUAACAAGAGAAAAGCUUGCUUUCCUUGUUGACGACCGGCGCACGGGUGAGUAACGCGUAUCCAACCUGCCUAUAACUAGGGAAUAACCUUGCGAAAGUAAGACUAAUACCCUAUGAUUUCCUUUGAUGACAUCAGAUUAGGAAUAAAGAUUUAUCGGUUAUAGAUGGGGAUGCGUCUGAUUAGCUUGUUGGCGGGGUAACGGCCCACCAAGGCAACGAUCAGUAGGGGUUCUGAGAGGAAGGUCCCCCACAUUGGAACUGAGACACGGUCCAAACUCCUACGGGAGGCAGCAGUGAGGAAUAUUGGUCAAUGGGCGGAAGCCUGAACCAGCCAAGUAGCGUGCAGGAUGACGGCCCUAUGGGUUGUAAACUGCUUUUAUACAGGAAUAAAGUUAGCCACGUGUGGUUAUUUGUAGGUACUGUAUGAAUAAGGACCGGCUAAUUCCGUGCCAGCAGCCGCGGUAAUACGGAAGGUCCAGGCGUUAUCCGGAUUUAUUGGGUUUAAAGGGAGCGUAGGCCGUCUGUUAAGCGUGUUGUGAAAUGUAGAUGCUCAACAUCUGAAUUGCAGCGCGAACUGGCAGACUUGAGUGUGCGCAACGUAGGCGGAAUUCGUGUGUAGCGGUGAAAUGCUUAGAUAUCACGAAGAACUCCGAUUG